rnacentral:rRNA from 1 species
UAGCGGCGAGUGAAGCGGCAAAAGCUCCUAUUUGAAAGCGCUUGGGCGCGUUGUAGAAGGGGGUUGCUUGAGGGUGGAGCGCAGCUAAGUCCCCUGGAAGGGGGCGCCAGAGAGGGUGAGAGCCCCGUGCGCUGUGCGAGGCCUGGAAGCGGCCUCUGCGGAGUCGAGUUGUUUGGGAAUGCAGCUCUAAGAGGGUGGUAAAUUCCAUCUAAGGCUAAACAUUGGCGAGAGACCGAUAGCGAACAAGUACAGUGAUGGAAAGAUGAAAAGCACUUUGAAAAGAGAGUGAAACAGUACGUGAAAUUGUUGAAAGGGAAGGGUAUUUGGUCCGACAUGGGCCUUGGGUAUCGUUGCCUGUAUGGGCGGCGCUCUACCGGGGUCUGGGCCAGGGUGAGGCAUUCGGGGAGUAGAAGAGGGCGGGAAGCACGUAGUGUGGAACGCUAUGACACUGCCACGGGUGCCUGAGGAACGCCUUGUAGGAUGCUGGCAGAACGGCCAAAUACCGCCCGUCUUGAAACAUGGACCAAGGAGUCUAACAUCCAUGCGAGUAUUUGGGUGGGAAACCCAAGUGCGCAAUGAAAGUGAACGUAGGUCGGACCUUUGGGGCACGAUCGACCGAUCCCGAUGUUUAUCGGAAGGAUUUGAGUAAGAGCAUGGCUGUUGGGACCCGAAAGAUGGUGAACUAUGCCUGAAUAGGGUGAAGCCAGAGGAAACUCUGGUGGAGGCUCGUAGCGGUUCUGACGUGCAAAUCGAUCGUCGAAUUUGGGUAUAGGGGCGAAAGACUAAUCGAACCAUCUAGUAGCUGGUUCCCACCGAAGUUUCUCUCAGGAUAGCAGUUGCUCGUAUCAGUUUUAUGCGGUAAAGCGAAUGAUUAGAAGCGCAGGGGCGGUAAACGCCUCACCUUAUUCUCAAACUUUCAAUGUGUAAGAAGCCCUCGUUGCUUAAGUGAACGUGGGCCAUCGAAUGAAGAGCAAUUAGUGGGCCAUUUUUGGUAAGCAGAACUGGCGAUGCGGGAUGAACCGAACGCGAGGUUAAGGUGCCGGAAUACACGCUCAUCAGACACCACAAAAGGUGUUAGUUCAUCCAGACAGCCGGACGGUGGCCAUGGAAGUCGGAAUCCGCUAAGGAGUGUGUAACAACUCACCGGCCGAAUGAACUAGCCCUGAAAAUGGAUGGCGCUCAAGCGUGAUACCUAUACCUUGCCGCCGCGGCGCUGCCGUGGCGAGUAGGUGGGCGUGGGGGUUGUGCCGAAG